rnacentral:rRNA from 1 species
GACGAACGCUGGCGGCGUGCCUAAUACAUGCAAGUUGAGCGCUGAAGGUUGGUACUUGUACCAACUGGAUGAGCAGCGAACGGGUGAGUAACGCGUGGGGAAUCUGCCUUUGAGCGGGGGACAACAUUUGGAAACGAAUGCUAAUACCGCAUAAAAACUUUAAACACAAGUUUUAAGUUUGAAAGAUGCAAUUGCAUCACUCAAAGAUGAUCCCGCGUUGUAUUAGCUAGUUGGUGAGGUAAAGGCUCACCAAGGCGAUGAUACAUAGCCGACCUGAGAGGGUGAUCGGCCACAUUGGGACUGAGACACGGCCCAAACGCCUACGGGAGGCAGCAGUAGGGAAUCUUCGGCAAUGGACGAAAGUCUGACCGAGCAACGCCGCGUGAGUGAAGAAGGUUGUCGGAUCGUAAAACUCGGUUGGUAGAGAAGAACGUUGGUGAGAGUGGAAAGCUCAUCAAGUGACGGUAACUACCCAGAAAGGGACGGCUAACUACGUG